rnacentral:rRNA from 1 species
AGCUCCAGUAGCGUAUAUUAUUACUGUUGUAGUUAAAAAGCUCGUAGUUGAAUAUCUGGCGUUGGGAAGCCCUGCCCGCCGCGAUUCGCGUGUGAGUUGUGGGGCGUCCCCGCCAUCCUGUGUGGGAGCCCGCCUACCCUUCAUUGGGCCGGGCGGUGCGAGCACACUCAGUUACUUUGAGAAAAUCUGCGCGUUCAAAGCAGGCACACGCUAUGAAAGCUUCAGCAUGGAAUAACAAGAUAGGACCUGGGUCUCUAUUUUGUUGGUUUCUAGGAUCGAGGUGAUGAUUGAUAGGGACAGUUGGGGGUGCUUGUAUUUAACGGCCAGAGGUGAAAUUCUUGGAUUCGUUAAAGACAAACUACUGCGAAAGCAUUCACCAAGGAUGUCUUCU